GGGUUGUGAGGUUAAGCGACUAAGCGUACACGGUGGAUGCCCUGGCAGUCAGAGGCGAUGAAGGACGUGCUAAUCUGCGAUAAGCGUCGGUAAGGUGAUAUGAACCGUUAUAACCGGCGAUUUCCGAAUGGGGAAACCCAGUGUGAUUCGUCACACUAUCAUUAACUGAAUCCAUAGGUUAAUGAGGCGAACCGGGGGAACUGAAACAUCUAAGUACCCCGAGGAAAAGAAAUCAACCGAGAUUCCCCCAGUAGCGGCGAGCGAACGGGGAGCAGCCCAGAGCCUGAAUCAGUGUGUGUGUUAGUGGAAGCGUCUGGAAAGGCGCGCGAUACAGGGUGACAGCCCCGUACACAAAAAUGCACAUGCUGUGAGCUCGAUGAGUAGGGCGGGACACGUGGUAUCCUGUCUGAAUAUGGGGGGACCAUCCUCCAAGGCUAAAUACUCCUGACUGACCGAUAGUGAACCAGUACCGUGAGGGAAAGGCGAAAAGAACCCCGGCGAGGGGAGUGAAAAAGAACCUGAAACCGUGUACGUACAAGCAGUGGGAGCCUCUUUUAUGGGGUGACUGCGUACCUUUUGUAUAAUGGGUCAGCGACUUAUAUUCUGUAGCAAGGUUAACCGAAUAGGGGAGCCGAAGGGAAACCGAGUCUUAACUGGGCGUUAAGUUGCAGGGUAUAGACCCGAAACCCGGUGAUCUAGCCAUGGGCAGGUUGAAGGUUGGGUAACACUAACUGGAGGACCGAACCGACUAAUGUUGAAAAAUUAGCGGAUGACUUGUGGCUGGGGGUGAAAGGCCAAUCAAACCGGGAGAUAGCUGGUUCUCCCCGAAAGCUAUUUAGGUAGCGCCUCGUGAAUUCAUCUCCGGGGGUAGAGCACUGUUUCGGCAAGGGGGUCAUCCCGACUUACCAACCCGAUGCAAACUGCGAAUACCGGAGAAUGUUAUCACGGGAGACACACGGCGGGUGCUAACGUCCGUCGUGAAGAGGGAAACAACCCAGACCGCCAGCUAAGGUCCCAAAGUCAUGGUUAAGUGGGAAACGAUGUGGGAAGGCCCAGACAGCCAGGAUGUUGGCUUAGAAGCAGCCAUCAUUUAAAGAAAGCGUAAUAGCUCACUGGUCGAGUCGGCCUGCGCGGAAGAUGUAACGGGGCUAAACCAUGCACCGAAGCUGCGGCAGCGACACUAUGUGUUGUUGGGUAGGGGAGCGUUCUGUAAGCCUGUGAAGGUGUACUGUGAGGUAUGCUGGAGGUAUCAGAAGUGCGAAUGCUGACAUAAGUAACGAUAAAGCGGGUGAAAAGCCCGCUCGCCGGAAGACCAAGGGUUCCUGUCCAACGUUAAUCGGGGCAGGGUGAGUCGACCCCUAAGGCGAGGCCGAAAGGCGUAGUCGAUGGGAAACAGGUUAAUAUUCCUGUACUUGGUGUUACUGCGAAGGGGGGACGGAGAAGGCUAUGUUGGCCGGGCGACGGUUGUCCCGGUUUAAGCGUGUAGGCUGGUUUUCCAGGCAAAUCCGGAAAAUCAAGGCUGAGGCGUGAUGACGAGGCACUACGGUGCUGAAGCAACAAAUGCCCUGCUUCCAGGAAAAGCCUCUAAGCAUCAGGUAACAUCAAAUCGUACCCCAAACCGACACAGGUGGUCAGGUAGAGAAUACCAAGGCGCUUGAGAGAACUCGGGUGAAGGAACUAGGCAAAAUGGUGCCGUAACUUCGGGAGAAGGCACGCUGAUAUGUAGGUGAAGUCCCUCGCGGAUGGAGCUGAAAUCAGUCGAAGAUACCAGCUGGCUGCAACUGUUUAUUAAAAACACAGCACUGUGCAAACACGAAAGUGGACGUAUACGGUGUGACGCCUGCCCGGUGCCGGAAGGUUAAUUGAUGGGGUCAGCGCAAGCGAAGCUCUUGAUCGAAGCCCCGGUAAACGGCGGCCGUAACUAUAACGGUCCUAAGGUAGCGAAAUUCCUUGUCGGGUAAGUUCCGACCUGCACGAAUGGCGUAAUGAUGGCCAGGCUGUCUCCACCCGAGACUCAGUGAAAUUGAACUCGCUGUGAAGAUGCAGUGUACCCGCGGCAAGACGGAAAGACCCCGUGAACCUUUACUAUAGCUUGACACUGAACAUUGAGCCUUGAUGUGUAGGAUAGGUGGGAGGCUUAGAAGUGUGGACGCCAGUCUGCAUGGAGCCGACCUUGAAAUACCACCCUUUAAUGUUUGAUGUUCUAACGUUGACCCGUGAUCCGGGUUGCGGACAGUGUCUGGUGGGUAGUUUGACUGGGGCGGUCUCCUCCUAAAGAGUAACGGAGGAGCACGAAGGUUGGCUAAUCCUGGUCGGACAUCAGGAGGUUAGUGCAAUGGCAUAAGCCAGCUUGACUGCGAGCGUGACGGCGCGAGCAGGUGCGAAAGCAGGUCAUAGUGAUCCGGUGGUUCUGAAUGGAAGGGCCAUCGCUCAACGGAUAAAAGGUACUCCGGGGAUAACAGGCUGAUACCGCCCAAGAGUUCAUAUCGACGGCGGUGUUUGGCACCUCGAUGUCGGCUCAUCACAUCCUGGGGCUGAAGUAGGUCCCAAGGGUAUGGCUGUUCGCCAUUUAAAGUGGUACGCGAGCUGGGUUUAGAACGUCGUGAGACAGUUCGGUCCCUAUCUGCCGUGGGCGCUGGAGAACUGAGGGGGGCUGCUCCUAGUACGAGAGGACCGGAGUGGACGCAUCACUGGUGUUCGGGUUGUCAUGCCAAUGGCACUGCCCGGUAGCUAAAUGCGGAAGAGAUAAGUGCUGAAAGCAUCUAAGCACGAAACUUGCCCCGAGAUGAGUUCUCCCUGACCCUUUAAGGGUCCUGAAGGAACGUUGAAGACGACGACGUUGAUAGGCCGGGUGUGUAAGCGCAGCGAUGCGUUGAGCUAACCGGUACUAAUGAACCGUGAGGCUUAACCUUACAACGCCGAAGGUGUUU
rnacentral:rRNA from 1 species